CGCCUCUUGAAACUACAUAAGAGGUCCAGCCUGCCCAGUGACUAAGUUCAACGGCCGCGGUAUCCUAACCGUGCGAAGGUAGCGUAAUCACUUGUUCUUUAAAUGAGGACUAGUAUGAAUGGCACCACGAGGGUUAUGCUGUCUCCUUUUUCUAAUCAAUGAAACUGAUCCCCCCGUGAAGAAGCGGGGAUAUAUUUAUAAGACGAGAAGACCCUAUGGAGCUUUAAACCAUGUAACACUGGCUUUCACAUUAAAAUAUUACAGAAUUUUCAUAGUUACUCUAGCCAUUAUGAUUACUAGUUUUAGGUUGGGGUGACCACGGAGCAAAAAUUAACCUCCAUGUUGAAAGGAGCUACUCCUGAGCCAAAGGCCACGACUUUAAGCACUAAUAAAUUAACAUUAAUUGACCCAAUAUUUUUGAUCAACGAACCAAGUUACCCUAGGGAUAACAGCGCA
rnacentral:rRNA from 1 species